rnacentral:rRNA from 1 species
UACGAAGGGGGCUAGCGUUGUUCGGAAUUACUGGGCGUAAAGGGCGCGUAGGCGGCGUGUCAAGUCAGGCGUGAAAGCCCCGGGCUCAACCUGGGAACCGCGCUUGAGACUGGCAUGCUCGAGUUCGGGAGAGGAUGGUGGAAUUCCCAGUGUAGAGGUGAAAUUCGUAGAUAUUGGGAAGAACACCGAUGGCGAAGGCAGCCAUCUGGACCGACAUUGACGCUGAGGAGCGAAAGCCAGGGGAGCAAACGGG